AUUGACUGACAUCAUCGACAUCAAUUCACUAAGUUUAAACUUUCCGUCUCCUUUGUUGCCGCACUUGAUGUAAUGUGCAUACGGUAACUGUAAUCGAUUUAUUCGGCAACAUUGUUAUUCUAAGCUAAUUCAGCUCUAAUUGUCCGUGAGUGAGCGAGAAGAUAGCACCAUCAAAGGUAGAUCGGUAAUGUAUGCAUGAUAAACCCAAGUGAGUAUGGCGAGUGAGAUU